GCCUGUAAAAAAUAUUGUGGUAGGUGGGUCACGAGGACUGGAGUUGAGAAACACUGUCUUAAUAGGCGUUUAGACCAUAAAUAAUGUUAAGUAUGGAAACAGAAUUGUCCAUCUCUUACAUAGAAAGAAUUGUCCAUCUCUUACAUAGAAAGAAAACAAAAAUGUUCCGGGAGGGGGUCAUGAGGACUGACUGUAUUAAAGGACAUCCUGACUGACUUGUGAAAACUUGACAUUAGAUUCACGCUGAUAUUGCUACAAGAAGUGUUUCUGCAUGAAUAGUAUUUCAAGUUUAGACAAAUGUUUUUUUUAAUCCAGUUUAUGCUUUAAGUUUUGUUACUGUAACAACAAUAUGUUUUUGUUAUAAACAGAUUGCUGAGGAAUUCUUCAGAAUCACGAAUAAAGACCUUCUUGAUGUCUUCAGGGCAGCUAUGGAUAGAUUUACACCUAAGCUCUUGAAAUUAUACAGAGCUAGAAAAGCUGCAUUUGGAGAGGACAUGGAACAGCUCCUAGAAAGACUUGAUGAAAGGGUGACCGAUGUUGUUAAUCACAGAAGGACUACUGCUUUGAAAGGCCUGCCUUUGUUUCUUCGAGAGGACCCAAACAAGCUGUUCAUGACAUGCAAAGACACCGAAGAUGGGGCAAAAGGAGUGUCUAUUGCCAUUCUGUGUGUUUUGGAAGAUGAAACCCAGGCGACAUCACCCGAGGUUGUGAACAUUGCUGUUGUCUUGGAGCAGGUCGUCGUUUUGAAAGAUCUCCCAGAUAUUUCUACUGCUCUUGCAUACCUUUUUUUGGCCUUCUGUAUGCAUUAAACAUGUCCUAUCCUCAAGCUCUUAAGUACACUUUUGACACCAUUCAGAAUGUUUUCAUGGAGCUGGGAUCUGGAUGCACCAAACGUGUACUUUCUCUGAAGAACAAACUGUUGUAAAGAAAAUAAGAACAGUGUUUUUGGGAUCCUUUUUGGCGUUCAUUUGUUACAAGACCUAAAGUGCGCUUGGAUACAAGGUCUGGGGAUUCUUUUAGUUGGCAUCUCUGUUUCUUGUUACAGAUGUCAAACUGUUCCAAAUGCACCAAACGUGUGCUUUCUCUGAAGAACAAACAGUUGUAAAGAAAAUCAGAACAGUUGUUUUGGGAUCAUCUUUGGCGUUCAUUUGUUACAAGACCUAAAGUGCAGCUUGGAUACAAGGUGAUUAUUUUAGUUGGCAUCUCUUUUUCUUGUCAUCAGAUGUCAGACUGUUCUUAAAGUGUACAGUACAGCAUACCAUACCAGGUUAGUGGUUGCAGUAAGCAUGUCUGUUCUUAUAAAUGGUUGUUUAAAAUUGAGGGAUAGUUCAUCCAAAAAUUAAAAUUGUCACAUUUUGUCACUCUUAUUUUGUUACAAACCUGUAUAAAUGUCUUCGUUCUGAGGAACAUGAAGAAAGAUGCUUUGAGGAAUGUUUGUAACCAAACCGUUCAUGAGCCCCAUUCACUUUUUAUAGUAGGAAAAAAGAAUACUAUAGAAUCGAAUGGGGCUCGUGAUCUGUUUGGUUACAAACAUUCCUCAAAAUAUCUUAUGUUCAUCAGAACAAAUACAUUUAUACAGGUUUGUAACAACAUGGGAGUAAGAAAAUGACACUAUUUUUCAUUUUUUUGGGUGAACUAUCCUUUUAAACAAAAACUGUAAAAAAAUGUGUUUUAAAUGUUGGUUUAAAUGUGGUAAUUUGAAAAGGUUUAGAUUACGGAAAAUGUCAAGACAUUAAAAACAUUUUAUUGUUGAUACAAAGAAAAAUCCUAAAUUGAUACCAACAAGUUUUAUGCUGUUUUUGUGUACAUUUAAGUGAUUUAAUGAGAAAUUGUAUUGCACUGAUUUUUGUUGGUGUUAAAAAUUGUCUGUAUGCUUAGUGUAUGCAAAAUUUAAGUUCCUACUGAAGAUGGAAUCUGGACUUUUUCUUUAAAGUGCAGCUGUUGUGUCACAACUUUAAAAAAAAGUUAAAUAUUGUGAACCGAGUUUGUGCUAGUGUAGCAUCUUAUUUCUAAUUGAAAUAAAUGAUAAAGUAAAUGUUUUAUGAUCUGUCUUUAUUUUGCCAAUUGAACAUUUCUCAUCCACAAAACAUAAAAAAGCUAAUUAACUGAACAACAGCAAUUGCAGUGACAUAAAUAUAAUUAUUAGGAAAAUUAAAAAAUCAGGAUUGCGUAAACAAGCAAGUGUUAGUUGGCUAACAUACAUAAUAAUUUUGCCAAUUGAAAAUUCUUCAUCCACAGAACAUAAAAAAGCAAAUUAACUGAACAACAGUAGUUGGUGUAAAACAAAAAUCUUAAUUGGGAAAAUAUGAAAAUCAGAAUUGCAAAAACAAGCAAGUGUUAGUUGGCUGAACAUUGUAUCAUUACUAUGUGUAAUUAUUUAAAAUACAUUGAGACAACGCAAAAGUCUUAAUGCAUCAGGUUGACUCACUUUUUUGCGUUUUCGCAGCAAUUUUUUUUUUACAGUGUAUAGAUAUAGCUUUUGCUCAAGAAACCCAUAGCAAUGCUUUAAAUGAAGUAGAUUGGAAAUGAGAAUGGGAGGGUUUGGUUAUCCUGAGUCAUAAGAGCAGUACAAGUGCUGGUAUAGGAGACUUCUUUACAAAUACAUUUUUGCCAAUCUCAUAUGAGGUGAAGUCAAUUGUAAAAGGAAGACUUUUAAAGGUUACUGCAAACUUGAUGUUGCAACUUUUGUUUUAAUAAAUGUGUAUGCUCCAGUUAUGGCAACUGAGAGAUUGUUGUUAUUAGAGACACUGUCAAAUACAAUACAAAAUUGUGAUUCUGAACAUUAUCUCCUGGUUGCAGGAGAUUUUAAUUUUACAACCAAUGAUAUAGAUAGGAAUCAUCAUACAGCUUCUAGGUUGUCCUUGAUCCGGUUGAUUGAAACCAAUGAUUUAGUGGAUGUGUGGAGAAACAUAAAU
ensembl:lncRNA